GCCCGCACAUUUGAUUGAACAGUACGAAUUUUGGGGAGGGAGCUUUUGACGGGACAGUUUGAUUGGACGGUGGCGUCAUGGCAUGGGGGCAUGGAGAAGGGAAGGCAUGGCAUGGGCGGGCCAUUUUGGCCCCUGCUUAGCCAUUGCCCUAAAUUUCUAAGAAUCUCUGUAGACUGUAGUUUCUAGUUGGUGGUUAGGGUUCGAGUAUUGUUUGCAUGUUACUCUGAGGUGGCGAUAAUUCUAGAAUCAGACUAAAAGAGGACAUAUUCAGAGGCUAUUGAGCAAAGAACAGGGGGAGAAGCUGAUUUCGCUAAUCAAAGGAGAUCAUGGGAACCAAUUCCCAUUCUAGAAGAGCAAAUCUGAUGGUAAGCAAGAGGAGAGUACUACAAGCUAUUCAAUCUGUAGAAGAAGAAGCCAAGAUUUUCCAAUGACAAUGGGCAGCUAAUUGUAGGCGAUAAUGAGGAUUUGGCUAAGAUUAGCUUCCCUUUAAUGGGUGCAAAUUGUAAGGGCUAUUUUUAAGGAAGUCAAUCACAAGUAUUAUGAUCGAGAGGUCUGCAGGCUUUUUCUUGUCGGCCUUUCUUGACAUGAUUGCUUCUAGCUAACGCUGUAGGCUUCAAUUUGCAAAGGGACCCACGGUUGUAAUGUGCAGUGCAGGGGCAUAUGCAAAGCACAGGGGUCUGCUGCUUAUGUGGAAGCCUUAAAGACGUGAGGCAAUGUUUUAUCAAUGCACCACACUCAAUGAAUAAGCCCAGGUCUUAAUGCUAUGGGUAAAGUGUCUGCCGCGCGAGUUCAAGGAAGCAGUGAGAGGGUGCAAUGGUCUUAAUAUUAAAGUUUUAUUUUAGAAAUAGUUUCCCAAACAGCAGAUGCCAAACAAGGAUUUUGUUUGGAGGAAUCAUGGGUACUUGCUAUCAAGAUAGAAAGAGGCAUCAGAUUGUUGUCUGAGAAUCUAAAAUGGUUGGAUAGAAAUUGAUACUCCAGCACAUUUAAAUUGGAAGAAUUGUUAUGCUUCUUUGAAUGAUUAUCAUCAGGCAUUAGAUAUGGAUGAGGUUUUGGCUCGGUAAGAAGAGGAUUGCUUUCUUCAUGAUUUCCCAUCAAAUCAGGAUGUGCUGGAUUGCUUCGGGAAGUCACUUCCAUGGGGAGUUUAAUGCUAGUUAAUAAUUCUAAGAAAAAGAGGCUCUUCACAGGACCGAGACAGAAAACCUUUAGUUGGAGGCUUGAGAAACGAUUGAUGAAGGUUCCCACCGGGCAAUGGAAAGCCUGCUUCUUGAGUCUAAUUUUUUCAUGUGCUUUUUUGUCGGGCCUGCCCUUCGGCAUUCUGUUUAUUUGGCUUUUUUAUGGUGGUCUUCUUUGUGUUAGUGGGUUUGAUCUUUAUUCUGAUGUUGAUAUUCAGUCAUGUCGUAUGGGUCUUUCCUUAGUUAUCUGAGGUGCAAAUGAUUUUAUGGUUGUAUCUGUAAGCAUGUUUUCUUCUGGUUUGGGUGAGGGCCACUGUAGAUUCCUCUCCAAUUGAUCUAAAAAACAUUGCGUGAUCGAAAAACACAAGAAAGAUUGAUUUA